UAUCGUAGCCUAUGAGGUUUAUCCGAGGCGCGAUUAUUGCUAGUUGAAAACUUUACCCAAUACCCCGCCGAGACGACUUGAAAUAUAGUUGGCUUUGGCAAUUUUUGGUGGUCUCUCAGGAGACUGAUAUGUUUGUGAAAUAUUAACUGUGAAUUGUUGAUAGUGUUACUAAUACUACCUCUAACGAGCGCAUGAAACGCAAUUCAUCAUGGAAAUCUGAAAUGAUCCGUGUUGGAAAUCACUGGGUUUGUUCGACUAUGCAGCCGACAGUGCAGUACGCCCUGUACAUUGCAAUGGAAGCAUAGUGUGAUUUCACUGAGGAAAACAUGCAGCAAAUUAGGCGAUGGUGGUGCCUAGUUCUCCUGCAGAACUUUCCCAUGCCCUAAGACUGAAGAAGAGAGGUUGAAAGAUCGAAAACAAAACCCACUACAGGAUGAUGUAGAGGUCACAGUAUGUCACAUCAGCAUCCAGCUCUGCAGGAUCAGAUGAUACUGAAAACAAAAUGCACGGCGAACUGGGAGCUGUGAACUGGGAAGCAGAUGUUCUUCUAAGGGACACCCUAGAGGCAGCAAGGUGGUGGAACUCCAAACAUUUAAAGGCACCGUUUCCCUCCCUAGUGUAACUGGGAUGGACGGGGAAGUGGACGGGGAAGACCGCAUUACAACCCUUAAAGAACUACGGUUGUAUGAUGGACGGGGAAGACCGCAUUACAACCCUUAAAGAACUACGGUUGUAUGAUGGACAGGGAAGACCAAAUUACAACCCUUAAAGAACUACGGUUGUAUGAUGGAGGGGGAAGACCACAUUACAACCCUUAAAGAACUACGGUUGUAUGAUGGACAGGGAAGACCGCAUUACAACCCUUAAAGAACUACGGUUGUAUGAUGGAGGGGGAAGACCACAUUACAACCCUUAAAGAACUAGGGUUGUAUGAUGGACAGGGAAGACCACAUUACAACCCUUAAAGAACUACGGUUGUAUGAUGGACAGGGAAGACCACAUUACAACCCUUAAAGAACUACGGUUGUAUGAUGGAGGGGGAAGACCACAUUACAACCCUUAAAGAACUAUGGUUGUAUGAUGGAGGGGGAAGACCACAUUACAACCCUUAAAGAACUACGGUUGUAUGAUGGACAGGGAAGACCACAUUACAACCCUUAAAGAACUAAGGUUGUAUGAUGGACAGGGAAGACGCAUUACAACCCUUAAAGAACUAGGGUUGUAUGAUGGAGGGGGAAGACCACAUUACAACCCUUAAAGAACUACGGUUGUAUGAUGGAGGGGGAAGACCGCAUUACAACCCUUAAAGAACUACGGUUGUAUGAUGGACAGGGAAGACCACAUUACAACCCUUAAAGAACUACGGUUGUAUGAUGGACAGGGAAGACUGCAUUACAACCCUUAAAGAACUACAGUUGUAUGAUGGACGGGGAAGACCGCAUUACAACCCUUAAAGAACUACAGUUGUAUGAUGGACAGGGAAGACCACAUUACAACCCUUAAAGAACUACGGUUGUAUGAUGGAGGGGGAAGACAACAUUACAACCCUUAAAGAACUAGGGUUGUAUGAUGGACAGGGAAGACCACAUUACAACCCUUAAAAAACUACGGUUGUAUGAUGGAGGGGGAAGACCGCAUUACAACCCUUAAAGAACUAUGGUUGUAUGAUGACAGGGAAGACCACAUUACAACCCUUAAAGAACUACAGUUGUAUGAUGGACGGGGAAGAUCGCAUUACAACCCUUAAAGAACUACGGUUGUAUGAUGGACGGGGAAGACCGCAUUACAACCCUUAAAGAACUACGGUUGUAUGAUGGAGGGGGAAGACCGCAUUACAACCCUUAAAGAACUAGGGUUGUAUGAUGGACAGGGAAGACCACAUUACAACCCUUAAAGAACUACGGUUGUAUGAUGGACAGGGAAGACCGCAUUACACCCCUUAAAGAACUACAGUUGUAUGAUGGACGGGGAAGACCGCAUUACAACCCUUAAAGAACUACGGUUGUAUGAUGGAGGGGGAAGACCACAUUACAACCCUUAAAGAACUAAGGUUGUAUGAUGGAGGGGGAAGACCACAUUACAACCCUUAAAGAACUAUGAUUGUAUGAUGGACAGGGAAGACGCAUUACAACCCUUAAAGAACUACGGUUGUAUGAUGGACAGGGAAGACCACAUUACAACCCUUAAAGAACUACGGUGGUAUGAUGGAGGGGGAAGACCACAUUACAACCCUUAAAGAACUACGGUUGUAUGAUGGAGGGGGAAGACCACAUUACAACCCUUAAAGAACUACGGUUGUAUGAUGGACAGGGAAGACGCAAUACAACCCUUAAAGAACUACGGUUGUAUGAUGGACAGGGAAGACCACAUUACAGCCCUUAAAGAACUUCGGUUGUAUGAUGGACAGGGAAGACCACAUUACAGCCCUUAAAGAACUACGGUUGUAUGAUGGACAGGGAAGACCACAUUACAACCCUUAAAGAACUACGGUUGUAUGAUGGACAGGGAAGACCACAUUACAACCCUUAAAGAACUACGGUUGUAUGAUGGCCUGGAUGAAGAGGAAAAUAUUCUCCUCAAGGAACCAUUCAUGUUCCAGUUACAGAGAGAUUAUGAGAUGUUCUAUGUGGAGGCAGUUGACAACAAGACAAUGACUGUCUGCCUCUUCUGAGGAGCAGGAGUGAAACCCUUUUUGAGGAGUGGUCAAACCUUGUUUUUGUCUGCUGUGUUAAUUGUUUGAAUUGUUAAUUGUGUUAUGUUGUUUAGUAAAGAUGACGUAGAAGUCA